UACGUAGGGUGCAAGCGUUUAAUCGGAAUUACUGGGCGUAAAGCGUGCGCAGGCGGUGAUGUAAGACAGGUGUGAAAUCCCCGGGCUUAACCUGGGAACUGCAUUUGUGACUGGCGGGCUAGAGUAUGGGCAGAGGGGGGUAGAAUUCCACGUGUAGCAGUGGAAAUGACGUAGAGAUGUGGAGGAAUACCCGAUGGCGAAGGCAGCCCCCUGGGCCAAUACUGACGCUCAUGCACGAA
rnacentral:rRNA from 1 species